AUGGCUUUGGGCUCCAUGUUUCCCGCAGGUCCAGAGAGAGGGGCGCGAGCUGAAUCCAUCCGACGGGCUGACGAACUCGAGGCACUUGGGUGCCAUGGCUGCUCCUGUCAUGACGAGGAGAGAGGUGGCGGCGUGCUCGAGGACGAGCUCGGCAUGGGGCGCAGGCAAGAGGAUGGCGCGGCUGUUCAUGGCGGAGCUGCGAGGACGGGCGCACUCGGGCAGGGGGGAAGAAGGCAUCAGGUGAGGUGGAGUUGGAUCGAGUGGGUGGGGCUGGUUGGCUCGAUGCUGAAAACAGGGUGA
rnacentral:rRNA from 1 species